rnacentral:rRNA from 1 species
GUGGGGAAUAUUGGGCAAUGGGGGAAACCCUGACCCAGCAACGCCGCGUGAAGGAAGAAGGCUUUCGGGUUGUAAACUUCUUUUGCCAGGGAAGAAAGAAAUGACGGUACCUGGAGAAAAAGCCACGGCUAACUACGUGCCAGCAGCCGCGGUAAUACGUAGGUGGCAAGCGUUGUCCGGAUUUACUGGGUGUAAAGGGCGCGUAGGCGGGAUUACAAGUCAGAUGUGAAAUGCCGGGGCUUAACCUCGGAGCUGCAUUUGAAACUGUAGUUCUUGAGUGAUGGAGAGGCAGGCGGAAUUCCUAGUGUAGCGGUGAAAUGCGUAGAUAUUAGGAGGAACACCAGUGGCGAAGGCGGCCUGCUGGACAUUAACUGACGCUGAUGCGCGAAAGCGUGGGGAGCAAACAGGAUUAGAUACCCCUGUAGUCC